AUUGAACGCUGGCGGCAGGCCUAACACAUGCAAGUCGAGCGGAUGAAGGGAGCUUGCUCCUGGAUUCAGCGGCGGACGGGUGAGUAAUGCCUAGGAAUCUGCCUGGUCGUGGGGGAUAACGUCCGGAAACGGGCGCUAAUACCGCAUACGUCCUGAGGGAGAAAGUGGGGGAUCUUCGGACCUCACGCUAUCUGAUGAGCCUAGGUCGGAUUAGCUAGUUGGUGGGGUAAAGGCCUACCAAGGCGACGAUCCGUAACUGGUCUGAGAGGCUGAUCAGUCACACUGGAACUGAGACACGGUCCAGACUCCUACGGGAGGCAGCAGUGGGGAAUAUUGGACAAUGGGCGAAAGCCUGAUCCAGCCAUGCCGCGUGUGUGAAGAAGGUCUUCGGAUUGUAAAGCACUUUAAGUUGGGAGGAAGAGCAGUAAGUUAAUACCUUGCUGUUUUGACGUUACCAACAGAAUAAGCACCGGCUAACUUCGUG
rnacentral:rRNA from 1 species